rnacentral:tRNA from 1 species
AUUACUUUGGCAGAAUAAUGCCUUAAAUUUAGAAUUUAAAAAUGUAUUAAAAUUAUUAUACAAGUAAUA